rnacentral:rRNA from 1 species
AAAAGAGUGCGUAAUAGCUCACUGGUCGAGUGACUCUGCGCCGAAAAUUUAACGGGGCUAAACUAUACACCGAAGCUUGGGAUACAUCUAAUGUAUGGUAGGAGAGCGUUCUGUAUGGGGAGAAGUCGUAGCGAAAGCGGCGGUGGACUAUACAGAAGUGAGAAUGCCGGAAUAAGUAGCGAGAAUUAAGUGAGAAUCUUAAUGGCCGAAAGUCUAAGGUUUUUGGAGGAAGGUUCGUCCGCUCCAAGUAAGUCGGGAGCUAAGGUCAGGCCGAAAGGCGUAGCCGAUGCACAUACGGUUGAUAUUCCGUAACCAUCUGUAAUUUAAGCAAAGGGACACUUCAAAAGGGUGUGACCCGGGCGUUGGUUGACCCGGGCGUAAGGGACCGAAAUUAGAGUAGGGAAGCACACUUAGCUGAAGGCGAGAAAAGCUUUGCGUAUAGAAACAGAUGCCCGUACCGCAAACCGACACAGGUGGACAGGAAGAGAAUUCUAAGGCCAGCGGGAGAAGGGUAGUUAAGGAACUCGGCAAAUUGACUCCGUAACUUCGGAAUAAGGAGUGCUCGAAAGAGCCGCAGAGAAUAGGCCCAGGCGACUGUUUAGCAAAAACACAGGUCUCUGCCAAAUCGAAAGAUGAAGUAUAGGGGCUGACACCUGCCCGGUGCCGGAAGGUUAAGAGGAGGAGUGAGAGCUCCGAAUUGAAGCCCCGGUAAACGGCGGCCGUAACUAUAACGGUCCUAAGGUAGCGAAAUUCCUUGUCGGGUAAGUUCCGACCCGCACGAAUGGUGUAACGAUCUGGGCACUGUCUCAACUACCCACCCGGCGAAAUUGUAGUACCGGUGAAGAUGCCGGUUACCUGCGGCAAGACGGAAAGACCCCAUGGAGCUUUACUGUAGCCUGAUAUUGGGUUUCGGAAAUCUAUGUACAGGAUAGGCGGGAGACUGGGAAACAUGAGCGUCAGCUUGUGUGGAGUCGAUGUUGGGAUACCGCCCUUAGGUUUCUGGAAUUCUAACCUGCGGCCGUGAAUCCGGUCGGGGGACAUUGUCAGGUGGGCAGUUUGACUGGGGCGGUCGCCUCCGAAAAGGUAACGGAGGCGCUCAAAGGUUAGCUCAGCACGGACGGAAACCGUGCCUCUGAGUGUAAACGCAAAAGCUAGCCUAACUGCGAGGGUGACGGCCCGAGCAGUAACGAAAGUUGGAGUUAGUGAUCCGGC